AGGAGAAAGGAGAAUAGUCUGCGACCACUGAGCCCUGCCUCCUCAAGCAGACCUCACAGCCAGCAGCCCUGGAGGAGCAACAUUAAGCCACUGGGAUUCCCCCAACUUCAGGCAAAUCAGAAUCAGAAUCAAGAUUUUAAAGGUAUCUCCAAGAAAAGUGAAGGUAGCUACAUUAAUUACUUCAGCUGACUUUUGGACAACAUGGGUUUCAAUGGUGUGGGUCCAUUUAUACACGGAUUUACUUCUGCCACUGCCGCCCCUGAGACAGCAAGACCAACCCCUCCUCUUCCUCAGCCUACUCAACAUGAAGAUGACGAGGAUGAAGACCUUCAUAAUGAUCCACUUCCACUUAACAAAUAGUAUCUAUAUUUUCUAUUCUUUAUGAUUUUCUUAAUAACAUUCUCUAUUCUCAAGCUUACUUUUCUGUAAGAAUAUAGUACAUAAUACAUACAAUAUAUAAAGUAUGUGAUAACUGACCAUGUUAUCAAUAAGGCUUCCAGUCAAGAGUAAGCUAUUAGUAGUUAAG
rnacentral:lncRNA from 1 species